rnacentral:rRNA from 1 species
UGGAUAUGUGACGUGACCGCAUGGUCUGCGUCUGGAAAGAAUUUCGGUUGGGGAUGGGCUCGCGGCCUAUCAGCUUGUUGGUGAGGUAAUGGCUCACCAAGGCGUCGACGGGUAGCCGGCCUGAGAGGGUGACCGGCCACACUGGGACUGAGACACGGCCCAGACUCCUACGGGAGGCAGCAGUGGGGAAUAUUGCACAAUGGGCGCAAGCCUGAUGCAGCAACGCCGCGUGAGGGACGACGGCCUUCGGGUUGUAAACCUCUUUUAGCAGGGAAGAAGCGAAAGUGACGGUACCUGCAGAAAAAGCGCCGGCUAACUACGUGCCAGCAGCCGCGGUAAUACGUAGGGCGCAAGCGUUAUCCGGAAUUAUUGGGCGUAAAGAGCUCGUAGGCGGUUUGUCGCGUCUGCUGUGAAAUCCGGAGGCUCAACCUCCGGCCUGCAGUGGGUACGGGCAGACUAGAGUGCGGUAGGGGAGAUUGGAAUUCCUGGUGUAGCGGUGGAAUGCGCAGAUAUCAGGAGGAACACCGAUGGCGAAGGCAGAUCUCUGGGCCGUAACUGACGCUGAGGAGCGAAAGGGUGGGGAGCAAACAGGCUUAGAUACCCUGGUAGUCCACCCCGUAAACGUUGGGAACUAGUUG